AAAUCCAACGGUAAUGGAUUUCUGCCGGGCCAUGGUGGCCGAACCGCUGCCUUGAAUUUUCCAGGGAAGCUGAUGACUCCUACUCAAAG
rfam:Rhizobium lusitanum strain P1-7 genome assembly, contig: Ga0061101_103